GGGGUAACGGCCCACCAAGGCAACGAUCAGUAGGGGUUCUGAGAGGAAGGUCCCCCACAUUGGAACUGAGACACGGUCCAAACUCCUACGGGAGGCAGCAGUGAGGAAUAUUGGUCAAUGGACGAGAGUCUGAACCAGCCAAGUAGCGUGCAGGAAGACGGCCCUAUGGGUUGUAAACUGCUUUUAUAAGGGAAUAAAGUGAGAGUCGUGACUCUUUUUGCAUGUACCUUAUGAAUAAGGACCGGCUAAUUCCGUGCCAGCAGCCGCGGUAAUACGGAAGGUCCGGGCGUUAUCCGGAUUUAUUGGGUUUAAAGGGAGCGUAGGCCGGAGAUUAAGCGUGUUGUGAAAUGUAGAUGCUCAACAUCUGAACUGCAGCGCGAACUGGUUUCCUUGAGUACGCACAAAGUGGGCGGAAUUCGUGGUGUAGCGGUGAAAUGCUUAGAUAUCACGAAGAACUCCGAUUG
rnacentral:rRNA from 1 species